GACGAACGCUGGCGGCGUGCUUAACACAUGCAAGUCGAGCGGUAGUGCCCUUUCGGGGGUAUGAGAGCGGCGAACGGGUGAGUAACACGUGAGCAAUCUGCCCUUCACUCUGGGAUAGCCACCGGAAACGGUGAUUAAUACCGGAUAUGACCAUGCCAGGCAUCUGGUGUGGUGGAAAGUUCUGGCGGUGAAGGAUGGGCUCGCGGCCUAUCAGCUUGUUGGUGAGGUAAUGGCUCACCAAGGCUUCGACGGGUAGCCGGCCUGAGAGGGUGACCGGCCACACUGGGACUGAGACACGGCCCAGACUCCUACGGGAGGCAGCAGUGGGGAAUAUUGGACAAUGGGCGAAAGCCUGAUCCAGCAACGCCGCGUGAGGGAUGACGGUCUUCGGGUUGUAAACCUCUUUCAGCAGGGACGAAGCGCAAGUGACGGUACCUGCAGAAGAAGCACCGGCCAACUACGUACCAGCCGCCGCCGUAAAAC
rnacentral:rRNA from 1 species